rnacentral:rRNA from 1 species
CCCUCCGUGCCCGGAGUUACACAUAAGUAUUCCACCUGGGGAGUACGGCCGCAAGUUGAAACUCAAAGGAAUUGACGGGGGCCCGCACAAGCAGUGGAUUAUGUGGUUUAAUUCGACGCACGCGAAGAACCUUACCAGGGCUUGACAUCCAACUAACGAGGCAGAGAUGCAUUAGGUGCCCUUCGGGGAAAGUUGAGACAGGUGGUGCAUGGUUGUCGUCAGCUCGUGUCGUGAGAUGUUGGGUUAAGUCCCGCAACGAGCGCAACCCUUAUUGCUAGUUGCUACGCAAGAGCACUCUAGCGAGACUGCCGUUGACAAAACGGAGGAAGGCGGGGACGACGUCAAAUCAUCAUGCCCCUUAUGUCCUGGGCUACACACGUAAUACAAUGGCGAUCAACAAAGGGAAGCAAAGCCGCGAGGCAGAGCAAAUCCCCAAAAGUCGUCUCAGUUCGGAUCGUGGGCUGCAACCCGCCCACGUGAAGUCGGAAUUGCUAGUAAUCGCGGAUCAGCAUGCCGCGGUGAAUACGUUCCCGGGCCUUGUACACACCGCCCGUCACACCAUGAGAGUCGGGAACACCCGAAGUCCGUAGUCUAACCGCAAGGAGGGCGCGGCCGAAGGUGGGCUUGAUAAUUGGGGUG